rnacentral:lncRNA from 1 species
UGACAAUUAUGGUUAAAUAAACUUUCCUAGGCCUCUGAACUUAUCAUUGACUCUGUCUCCUUUGUAACUCUGCUCUCCUCUUCCCAGAUGACUGGCCAUCUGGAUGCUGUAGUGUCAGGGGAAGUACACAAAGCAGCCUUCCCCAUUCCGUGUGAGAAGACUGACAUUCUCUGCACUUAAAGGCAAAGAUGCUUGCAUCAAAUUUACCGAAUAAGGCACAGACUCACUUCAGGACCCUGUGUCCCAUUGUUCCUUCUAUAUUUGGAAGACUAAACUAAGAGAGUUCUGAUAAUGGACCAAGGGAUACACCAUCUAUGACGUUAUUAUUAACACAAAUGGGUUAAAUAAGAGGAAAAAUAAUUUAUCAUCUGUGUCCCUCGCAGGCAAACAGGAAAUCCUUCUGAUAGUUAUCUGGCCAGCAUGACUCAGCAUGGCUGUGACUCAUCUUCCAUUCCCUGGUGUAUUUCUAAUGUGUACCCAUAGUGUGAGUCCAUGGAGGCUGCCAGGUUUUUGUAAUCCCUCUUCUACCCCUACCCUCAACCUCCCAGGCAGCCUGAGAUCUGACAAAGAGAAGUUAAAAAACGCAAAUAUUCCAAAUCAGUGACUGGAAAAAGUGAUAUCACAAGCGAAACAAGAAUCCAGUCCAUAGGCCAAGACUGCUAUCUCUCUCUCUUUUUUUUUUUUUUUUUUGAGAUAGAGUCUCGCUCUGUUGCCCAGGCUGGAAUGCAGUGGCGCGAUAUUGGCUGACUGCAAGCUCCGCCUCCCGGGUUCACGCCAUUCUCCUGAGUAGAGUAGCUGGGACUACAGGCGACCGCCACCACACCCAGCUAAUUUUUUUGUAUUUUUUUUAGUAGAGACGGGGUUUCACCGUGUUGGCCUGGAUGGUCUCGAGCUCCUGACCUAGCUACCUGCCUGCCUCAGCCUCCCAAAGUGCUGGGAUUACAGGGGUGAGCCACCACGCCCGGCCCAAGUCUGCUAUCUCUAUUCCAACAAGAAAUUGCCACAGCUGCUCUGACCUCCAGCGACCACCACCCUGAUCAAUCAGCAGCCUUUAGCACUGAGGCCACACUAUCCACCAGCAAAGAUAUUAGAUUAAGACUCACUGAGGCUCAGAUGAUCAGUAGCAUUUUUCAUCUGCAUCUUGUUAUUGUGCCGCGAGAAAUAGCAGCCUGACCCUCAGUUUGAUCCGGGAUAAAAAUUUGGCACACAAGCCAGGAAUUAAGGACAGUGCUGCAUUCAGCGGCUGGCAACUUGCUAUGAGACAGUCUUCAGGAGGAUCCCAGAAGCUGCUGGGUGAGGUUUCCCCCGGGACCCUCCAGAGGGCUGUUGUGCGCAAAUCUGCAUGUCCUUUUCACUACUGAGGAGAAACAGAGAUCAGGAGCAGAUGCGCUCAAAGGAGUCAAGGAAGCUUUUCUUUUGUGCUAUUAACAGAUUUUAACAAUUAAGUAAAGUAUACUCCUAUGAACAAAAUUUGGAGCAUAUUUGUUUCUCUCUGCCUUGUCCCUCUAGAAUUUGGAAACUAUCUCAGGAUACAACUGGAAACAUUGGUUAUAUUACCAAGGCUUUGACUGAAACAUCAUAUUUAAAAAUGUGGAUAGAAUGCCUAAUUUCAAGAGUUUUCAGGCCAAUAUUUAUGAAUCCUGUCGCUGUACUUGAGCCAGCCAAUUAAGAGUCAGCUUGUUGACACACGUUAAAUAUGUGGUAAUAAAGAAAUGAGAAGAAAAUAGUUUGCACAGUCCGAGUCAAUUCUCAUAUUUCAAAAGAGAAACAAAGAAUGCAACUGGCAAUACGUAAUCCGAAUCCUCCCAUCUUAGCUUCUCAAAUAAAAGCAGAUAGCUGUCAAUAAUUUUGGAAGUGACUUCUGGUCCCUCACCUGGCUCUGACUUCAUCCCUGGUACGGAUUCACUCUCUGCUCAAUCCUCCAACUCAACGCAUGAUGGACCAAAUAGUUAUCAUUCUCCAUUUUCAACUCCUUAUCUCCAUCCACUCCAUAGGGCAUCCAGAAACUGAUAUAGCCCUGCUCCCCAACCCCAGUCUGAGCUUGUAAAAAGCCCCAUGGGAUGACAUACUUGAAGGGCCUCAAUGGUAACAGCUAAUAUGGAUUCAAUUAAAUUGCACUGUGUACAACUCCUGGAGUCCAUGCAGCAGUCCUAGUACAAAGUCUAACACCAACAACUUUGACCCCAGAACCAAUGCAAUGAAGACCCACAGAGAUCUGCAUUGCCACAUCCUCAACAACCAAUAUUCCGUCCAGGCUAUGACUGGCUCUAGAUGAACCUAAGUGCCUUUCGCCAUAGUCAUCUCUCCAGGGGAAAGCUGGGGCCAGUUGUCUUCUCAAUUCCAUAGCUCACCAUGCCUCACACUUCUGGUAUCUUCACUUGUCUUCUGACACCUAAGCCCCUCCCUGGUUUAAUCUCUUUUGUACCUUCAUCACGAUCACUGCUCUGUAAUUCCACUCUUGUGCCCUCCCUAACAAUCCUUUCCAGAGGACUUUCCUCACUUUCAGUCACCCCCAGACAUGCCCAAAACUGUUUUACCUAGAAUAGUUCCAGAUUUAAAAGAUUAAAUUCAGUCACCCCACUCUCUGAAUACAAACUUUUACUUUUCACUCUUAAAUUUCCCUCACUCAGUUACUCUCCUUAUGCCAACUCUUUGUCUUAACCAGAUCUGUCAUCCAAUGACCCUCUCAACUUUCUCUCAGUUAGCGCCUUUCUACUGUCACUUCUUUCCCUACCUGGAAUCUACUCUAAACAUUGUAAAAUGCAGUACACCUUUUUGAGCAAUCUCAUUCAUUUCCAUUGGGUAAGACAAUACCAAAUAUUCUUUCUCCAGCCGAGAUUCCCCCCUUGAAACUCUCAAUCCCCC